rnacentral:rRNA from 1 species
UACGGAGGGUGCAAGCGUUAUCCGGAUUCACUGGGUUUAAAGGGUGCGUAGGUGGGCAGGUAAGUCCGUGGUGAAAUCUCUGAGCUUAACUCAGAAACUGCCGUGGAUACUAUUUGUCUUGAAUGUUGUGGAGGUGAGCGGAAUAUGUCAUGUAGCGGUGAAAUGCUUAGAUAUGACAUAGAACACCAAUUGCAAAGGCAGCUCACUACACAAUUAUUGACGCUGAGGCACGAAAGCGUGGGGAUCAAACAGG